rnacentral:lncRNA from 1 species
AUAAAAUCUGUCUGUCGAAAGGGCUUUAUGCCGUCUUUGAUUCUGUAUCAUGCUCUGAUAAAUUUACCUUAGAACCAAUUUAAACAACCAAGAAUUCAGUGAUAAUCUUAAGGAGAUAUAAAUGCUUCAAUACAUUUGACAAAGUUGUUUAAUUGUACUAAAGAUUUUGCAAUCUGCAAGUCACAUAAAUCGCAUAAAAUUUAAUCCUUAUGACUGACUUACCUUGUGCUUUCUGGGAAUCGAAAAGGAAUCGAAACGGGAUAUGACUCAAAUGAUGGAGAAAAUCAAUAAAGAAAUUACUCACCAGGGAGCAUGACAAAGUGGUAGAAAAAUAAUUGUUUGCACCAGAAAAAUAAUGAUGGAACUCCAGAAAAUAAGAGAAAGAAAAAUAGUUAAUACAGAAAUAAGUCAAGGACAGGUGCCUUCACUCUCAGUCGAUGAUGAAACAGUUAUACGUGUAACUACGACUAUAACAGAGAAUGAAAC